rnacentral:lncRNA from 1 species
CCGCCCGGAAUCCAGGGAAUUUCGGGAAUUUCCCCUCUCCCCAGUCCCUUCUGUUUCCACAGCCAGCUGGCUCCAAACCUUGGGGCUUUCCGAGUUCUCCUCAGCCCCUUCAGGAAUUCCACCCAUCCAAAUUCCCAGGAAUGUCCCCAAGCAGAGCCACCAUUCCCUGUGUCCCAUUCCCAUCCCUGUGUCCUAUUCCGUGUCCUAUUCCCAGGAAUGUCCCCAAGCAGAGCCACCAUUCCGUGUCCCAUUCCCAUUCCCCGUGUCCCGUUCCCAUUCCCUGUGUCCCAUCCCCGUGUCCCAUUCCCAUUCCAAGAAUGCGCUCCCAUUCCUGUGUCCUAAUCCCAUUCCCUCUGUCCUGUUCCCAUUCCCAUCCCCGUGUCCCAUCCCCAUGUCCCAUUCCCAUUCCCAUGUCCCAUUCCCAAUCCCCAUGUCCCAUUCCCAUUCCCAUGUCCGAUCCCCAUCCCCGUGUCCCAUUCCCAUUCCCAUUCCCAUUCCCAUUCCAGGAACGCGCUCCCCUUCUCGGGAAGUUCGCAGCCGCUGCCGGAGGCUCUGGGCACCAGGCGCAGCCGCGCUAAUUAAUUUAAUUACUUCCAGCAGGUAACGAGCCAAGCUCCCUCGGGGCUGCCUCUCCCAGAAUCCCGGGAUUUGGGUGGGAUUCCGGAAUUUCUCCUCCCGGCUUUCAAAGGGACGCGGCGUGGAGCAGCCGGGGUGAAAAUCCCCUCAGCUCCGGGGUUUUUGUGGGAAUUCUGCUCCGAGGAGGGACAGGACAGCUCCAGCUCCGGGCUGGGAAUUCCCAGAAUUCUGGGAAUUCCCGGGAAUUUGGGUGGGGAGGGGCCUGGAAUCCCAGGCAGGGACAACUCCCAGGGUGCUCCGAGCUGGCCUGGGACAUUCCAGGGAUGGGGCAGCCACGGAUUCCCAGGAAUUCUCCCCAGUAUCCGACCCCAAAUUCCUCUCGUGGAGCUCUGCUCAAUUUUGGGGGAAAUUUUUAUAGAUUUGAGUUGGUUCCACCUUCAUUUUCCUCUCUUCCCAUUCUCAUUCCCAUCCCACAGCCGGGAUUUUCCAGCCAGGCCACGAUCUGUCCCAGAAUGUGAAUAAUAAAGGUAAAAAAGCCCAAAAGCA